AGUAGGCCACAACUGGAAGAUAGCAAUUACUUGGAUGCAUACAUAUCUAUAUUGACUACCUAGUUGGAAUUUAAAGAGUCCUGGUUCUAGAAUUAAGGACCCUGGAUUCAAAUUCCAUUUGUGAUGUCUGUUAGAUACCUAGGUUACUUUGGGUAAAUAAUUAACCUCCCGGUGCCUCCGAUUGGUCAUCCAUAAAAAGAAGUCUCUUCCAGCUUGAGAUUUGUGCUCCUAAAGUCCUUUUUUUCCCAAGGAGUGAACAGGCUGAACCCAAGUUUGGGGUUGAAAUUUGAAUUACCAGUACCUAUAGUAUAUAUUUAAAUUUUUUUUUAAAUUUUAUUUUGUCAAGAACAUGCCUAUAGUAUAUUAAGAGGAAUGGUUUUAUGGAGGAGAGGCACUGAUGAAGAAGGUCUCUAUUACCCCAGAUCUAGGAGAUAUUCCUGUUAAUUGUACUUGUGUCUUUAAGAGACAAAUGGAAUGUUAUAGACAUGCUGACUUCAACUGUCAUUUUGGAAAUACUAUCCAGAGUGAUGGCUUGAGAAAACCUGAAGAGGCUGCCUUCCUACCAUGACUAGACAAGCUGAAGAAGACCAAGAGGAAGACCAUGGAGGCAUCUUCUUUCUUGAUUCUCAUCUUGUGAAGUGGAUGCCAAGGAUUCUUGGGAAGAGAUUUUAUUUUGCAUCCUCAAUGACCUCACUGGUAUGAAUCUGUGUUCUCAGAAGGCAAGAGAAGUCACCUGUAGUGAAGGGUUGGCUUGGCUUCGGCUUUGAUCUUUCUUACAAUGAAAAUACUGUAAAGAAUAA